UGCCAGCCGCCGCGGUAACACGGGGGGCGCAAGCGUUAUUCGAGAAUCACUGGGCGUAAAGAGCGCGUAGGCGGCCUAUCAAGUUGGGAGUGAAAUCCCGGAGCUCAACUCCGGAACUGCUCUCAAAACUGGUAGGCUAGAGAUCGAUAGGGGAUGAUGGAAUUCUUAGUGUAGAGGUGAAAUUCUUAGAUAUUAGGAGGAACACCGGAGGCGAAGGCGAUCAUCUGGGUCGAUACUGACGCUAAGGCGCGAAAGCGUGGGGAGCAAACAGGAUUAGAUA
rnacentral:rRNA from 1 species